UACGUAGGGCCCAAGCGUUGUCCGGAUUUAUUGGGCGUAAAGAGCUCGUAGGCGGCUCAGUAAGUCGGAUGUGAAAACUCGGGGCUCAACCCCGAGACGCCAUCCGAUACUGCUGUGGCUUGAGUCUGGUAGGGGAACACGGAAUUCCUGGUGUAGCGGUGAAAUGCGCAGAUAUCAGGAGGAACACCGGUGGCGAAGGCGGGUCUCUGGGCCGAAAUUGACGCUGAGGAGCGAAAGCGUGGGGAGCAAACAGG
rnacentral:rRNA from 1 species